UUCCCGCGAGCACCGAAACCGAAUCAUUACAUCACUGCAGCAAAAUCUUCUCUCUUACAAAUUAUAAGCUUGAGAGAGACAUUAUAGCAGAAGAUGAGGAUUGACAGAGUUAUUGAUAAUGAAAUUGAAAAUACCACCUUCCCUCUCUAUCUAUAAAGCGCUUUCUCUCUCCAGGAAACUCUAGAACAUCUCAGCAACUCUGUUUUAUUUAAGUAGUCUCUCUCGGCUUCUGUACAUAAGGUGCUCACGCAUAUCUUGUUCAUUCCUUAACCGCUUCACUUCUCCUUAUCUUUCAUCAGAGUCCUCUUUCUUUCUCUACACAUUUUGCUUCUGACUGUCAGGAAUGGCUCAACCAGCGUAUACUGUAACAUCUGAUAGUGAAAAUACUGGCGAGGAAAAAUCGUCGGUUGCUUUUCCAGAUAUUGCCAUCGGAAUUGAUAUCGGCACAUCUCAAUGUAGAGUUGCAGUCUGGAAUGGCUCUCAGGUAGAGCUCCUUAAGAAUGCCAGAAACCUGAAGAUGAUGCAAUCAUAUGUCACAUUCAAAGAUGAUCUCUCUUCUGGUGGAGUCAGCAAUCAACUAUCUCAUGAGCUCGACAUGUUUUCUGGAUCUGUAAUCUUCAACAUGAAACGUCUGAUUGGCAGAGUUGACACUGACCCAGUUGUCCAUGCCAGCAAAAGCCUUCCGUUUCUUGUGCAAACUUUAAACAUUGGUGUUCGGCCAAUUAUAGCAGCUUUGGUGAGAAAUGCAUGGAGAUCCACUACUCCUGAAGAAGUCCUAGCGAUAUAUCUGGUGGAGUUGAGAGUCAUGGUUGAAGGUCAAUUGAAGCGUCCUAUAAGAAAUGUAGUUCUCACAACUCCAGUCUCUUUCAAUCGCUUCCAACUGACUCGAAUUGAACGAGCUUGUGCAAUGGCUGGUCUUCAUGUACUCCGAUUGAUGCCUGAACCAACUGCUGUGGCACUGCUAUAUGCCCAACAGCAGCAACAGACUGCUCAAGACUCUAUGGGUAGCGGAAGUGAAAAGAUUGCACUCAUCUUUAACAUGGGUGCUGGUUACUGUGAUGUAGCCGUCAGUGCUACAGCUGGAGGAGUCUCACAAAUAAAAGCUUUAGCAGGAAGUGCUAUCGGAGGAGAAGACUUGCUUCAGAAUAUGAUGCGGUAUCUUUUUCCAGAAUCGGAGAUUAUGUUAAUGAGACAUGGAGUUGAUGAUAUCAAAUCAAUGGCAAAGCUGCGAGUUGCAACUCAAGAUGCAAUCAACACACUCUCGUUUCAGAAUAGUGUUCAGGUUGAUGUCGACAUAGUAAGUGGAACUGAAACAUGUAAGGUUGUCGAUAAGGUUGUCGAUAGGGAGGAAUUUGAGGUAGUAAACGAGAAGGUGUUUCAACAAUGCGAGAUUCUCAUUGUACAGUGCUUGCACGAUGCAAAGGUUGAUGUACAAGAUAUCGCAGAUGUAAUCCUCGUUGGUGGGUGCUCAAAGAUUCCAAAGAUAAGAAAUAUUGUCCAGGGUAUAUGCAAAAAAGAGGCAUUCUACAAAGACAUGAAUCCAUUGGAAGCUGCUGUUUCUGGUGCAGCCUUAGAAGGAGCAGUGGCUUCAGGUGUCAGUGAUCCGUUUGGUAAAUUAGACCUGCUGACAAUUCAAGCAACACCGCUUGCAAUUGGAAUCCGAGCUGAUGGAAACAAGUUUAUACCCAUCAUACCAAAAAAUACAACAAUGCCGGCAAGGAAAGAACUUCACUUCACAACUGCUCGUGAUAACCAAAACGAGGCCCUGGUUCUCGUCUAUGAAGGAGGAGCGAAGAUAGAAGAGAAUUAUCUAUUGGGGUAUUUCAAGAUCAUUGGAAUUCCUCCAGCACCUAAAGGAGUACCGGAGAUAACUGUUGGCAUGGACAUUGAUGCCACAAACGUGCUGAGAGUUUUUGCCGGGGCAACCUUGCCAGGUGCUAAGGAACCAUUCUUUCCGUUCAUGGAAGUCAGGAUGCCAACAGUUGAUGAUGGCAAUGGUUGGUGUGAUGAAGCGCUACAUACAGCUUAUGGUAACAGGCUGGACUUGGUGUCAUUACCAAAGAAGAUAUAGAGUGGAGUUGAUGAUCCAGGACAGUUGGACUUGUAAGAACUCUGAAAAUAGUACAUUCUGCAGUUCUGCAACUUGUUAUGCAGAUUGUUCGUUUUUUGGUGGGUAGAGGGGUGUAUCUACUUUGCUAGCUGGGCUGGACUUAGGUUGAAAUGGCACCAUCCAGCUCGUCUUUUGACAGCCAAUUGGGCCUGCUCGUCUUUUGACAGCAAGUUGGGCCAAAAUUCAGGUCGCGUGUACUAAGAUAAGUUGGAUCGAAACUCAAAAUCGAUUCAAAACUC